AUGGUUGUCGUCAGCUCGUGCCGUGAGGUGUCGGGUUAAGUCCCAUAACGAGCGCAACCCCUAUCUUAUGUUGCCAGCACGUUAUGGUGGGGACUCGUAAGAGACUGCCGGGGUCAACUCGGAGGAAGGUGGGGACGACGUCAAGUCAUCAUGCCCCUUAUGUCCAGGGCUUCACACAUGCUACAAUGGCCAGUACAGAGGGCUGCGAGACCGUGAGGUGGAGCGAAUCCCUUAAAGCUGGUCUCAGUUCGGAUCGGGGUCUGCAACUCGACCCCGUGAAGUCGGAGUCGCUAGUAAUCGCAGAUCAGCAACGCUGCGGUGAAUACGUUCCCGGGCCUU
rnacentral:rRNA from 1 species